rnacentral:lncRNA from 1 species
GGGGUCCCCAAAUUCUGAAGGGCUGUGCUACACCAGAGGUCUGCAACUUACAUGAGAAUGCCACCCUGGGUCCAGAAGACUCUGGAUUUCAUCUCACCGCUAAGCCUGAAUGCAACUGCCUUACUCCUACACAUCCAGGUCCUCAUGCAACUGUGACCCACACCAAAGCUGAGACCACCGACUGCUUCACCUGCUGAGACCUCCACAGCUGUGGCCCCCUUCCAUGCCCAGAGGAUAAUCACUACUGCCUUCAGAUGGCAGGCAUCACAGGCUUUGGCGAAGGUAACCCUGUCUCCUGGAGAAACGGUUUCUGCGUGACCUCCAAGGACUGCAAAUUUGGCAACUCCAUCUAUGCCCUGACCUAUGGUGUUGGCUUUGGCUUCUGCGUCAACACCACCUGUUGCCAAGGCAACUACCAGGAGCCCACCCCUCUCGCAGCUCAUCUGGCCUCACACACCCUGAGUGAGAUAUUGUGUCCUACAUGUCCUGGGAGCUACUUGGAGCCCUGCAAUUCCUCCUUCUACAUGCAGUGUCCCAGUGGGGAAUCUGAGUGUGUCCAGCUGGACCUAACGUCUGAAGAAGGCGGCCGGAACGUGAACGUACGCGGCUGCGGCUCCCGAGACCUGUGCAGCGCCCUGGACUGGACCCACGGGCUCUCUGUGCUCCCAAGACACUGGCUGUCGAGCCACUGCAGCCCCCACCGCCGCGCCGUCCUAGAGUCCCACUGCCGCUCGGGCGCCGCGCCCGGCCUCCGCCUCUCCCUCCCGGUUCUGGUGGUAGUCCUGGCAACCGCGACGCUGUGCUAAGGAAUCCCGCCUGGACCACCCCGCCGCCCGGGAGGCCCCCUCCACCUGCUUGUUCGGCACGUCGCUAGAUGGUGCCCUGGCUCCCCUCUGCUGGGGCAAUGCGGAGACCUGGAAGCCUCUGGUGAGAAACUCAGGAAGCAGGGAUGAGCUUCCUCCCUCAGACUAGCGUUUCCCAAAGCCAGACCUUCUGCUCCAGACUCAGGGCUUACUCAAGGCUAAGUCCUCUUUCCUCACACCAGGGUCCCAAAGGCCAUGCCUCCAUCAGCCUAGGGUGUGUCUUCCCCGCUCAGACUAAGGCCACUCACCUGCUGCUGAGAUCAGGCGUCUGCUCAACUAAGUUGGGGCGGGGCGCUAUACCUCCCCCCUCAGAUUAGCACCUUCCCCAAGGCCAAACCUCCUCCCUCAGAAGAGGGCUGUUCUUCUUCCUCAAGUUACUAAGCCUCCUUCUUCAAACGAGGGGAUACCCAAUAUCCGGCUGCUCCCAGACACCAGGGAUGUGUCUCUUCUCCCACACAUUGACAAGCAACUUCUCUUUUGUUCUCCCUGUUUGGGGUCUAGCAAAAUCCUGGGCAGCCAAGGCGGGGCUUGAGGAUCCGAUACACCCUCUUCCAAGGUUUUCAGAGCAGCCUCCUCCACCCCCACCAUGGGCCAAGACGGGGCAGGGGGCAUGGGUGGGGUGAGGAGCCCCUCUUCUGUGUGGGCCCAAUCUCCCAGCUGUAACCAGAUCUGAAUGAAUC